rnacentral:lncRNA from 1 species
CUCAAAGGCUUUCAAAAAUCCUGAGGCAAAAAAGCUCGGAAGCUAACAGAACACAAGGAGAAACUCUACCUUGUCCCAAAUUGUAACGGCUGGAGUAAAGUUAAGAACAGCUGCUCUUCUAGAGGACUCCAGUUCAAUUCCCAGCACCCUCCUGGCAGAUCACAGAUGUCUGUAACUCCAGUUCUAGGGGAUCUGACACCAUCAUACAGACACACAUGCAGGUUAAACACCAAUACAUGUGAAAUAAAAUAAGUUAAAAAAGGAAAAAAAAUAAAGACAAAGAAAAAAAUUCAAUCCCCACAUGGCCCAAAUAUUGUGAAAGCCUUGGUUUUUGUAAAGAGAGAAAAAAAAACCCUCUUUGUUUGAAUGAUG